rnacentral:rRNA from 1 species
UACGUAGGGUCCAAGCGUUAUCCGGAAUCACUGGGCGUAAAGCGUGCGUAGGUGGCGCGUAAGUGUGAUGUUAAAUCGCGGGGCUCAACCCUGUCGAUGCAUCGCAUACUGGCGUGCUAGAGGGAAGCAGAGGCAAGUGGAAUUGGUAGUGUAGCAGUGAAAUGCGUAGAUAUUACCAGGAACACCAAUGGCGAAGGCAGCUUGGCUGGGCUUCUUCUGACACUGAGGUACGAAAGCGUGGGGAGCGAACAGG